rnacentral:misc_RNA from 1 species
UGCCUAUUUCUUCGCUGCCUCACCCUCCCUCCGCGCACCAGCCUACUUCAGGAUUGAGCCGUGGUGUGCAGCAGAGGUGGACGACCUGUGGUAGUGCGCGUGCCUGUUGGUUGUCCGGCUCGUCGUAGAAUGGCACGUUGAAAAGGACGAAGGAACCCCCCCCUCAACACGCAAGGCAGGCGCGCGCUUUCACCUAGGCAGGCACACAGCAAUGGACCCCUCUGCCGUAGCGGCACACGGCACAGCCGCUGGUGCUGAUCAACGCCAUCCACACAACGGCAACGGCAAUGGCGCGCUCUCCGGCGGUCAGCCCUCCGAGGCGGAGAUGAAGCGCAUCCGCCAGCGCCGCCGCCUGGCCUGUAAGACGCCGGAGCAGCGCCGAAAGCUGCAGCAGUAUCAGCGCCGGCACAACGAGAAAGAUGAGCGACUCUACUACUGUGACUACUGUGACCUGUUCAUCUCCUCGCGGCACAGAACGUGGAUGACGCACCUGCGCAGCGCUCGACACACGGUCGCGUUCCAGUCCUAUUACGACCUCGUCGCGCACGUCGAGAGCGUGUGGGUAGCGGAAAUAAACCGAGAGGUGGAGCUGGCACGGAGUCGCGAGGUGCAUCGAUUGCAGCAGCGAUCCGCUGGCAAGGGAGCCGCGACGCCGCUGACAGCGCAGCAAGUCGCGCCGGGUAUCGUCGUCGGAGGCGCACCCGCACCGGGGCGUCUUCCACCACCGCCGCCAUUUCCGCAGCCCCCACAUGGCUCAGCGCAGGUCGGCCCGACACCAACCAUCCGGGUCGGUGCCAAGACGAUUCUACCGUCUGCCGCGUUCGUAGCGUUGCCCUCUGCGGCGACGCCGUCGCCCGCGUCGCCAUUGGCAGAUGCGGAGAGGAGCAGGACGAGCGAGAAUGAGGCUCGGCUGUCCAUGCCAUGAGCUCGGAGCGGUACACGAACACAACAACGGCAAGCGAAGGAGGCUGUCUUGCUGCUCCUCAUGGAGGGAGGUGUCUGUGUGCCGCCCCAUCCGUCCAAAAGCAAGCGGGCACCGAAAGCUUGAAGCCAAAACGCGUGCGCGCACACAGAGCGGUGCCCACAACUCCUCUCCCUGAUAAUACGCCCACCGGUCAGUAAGCAGCAGCACGUGUACCGUUCUCUACAAGCAGGAGCGCCCUUCAUGGCGAGAGACACAUGCAACCCUCUCAGCGCGUGGCACCUCAGAGUCCAGUGCCCUCACCGUGGGAAAAGCCAGGCAGCCCCCUCCCCCAUCUCCUGCCAAGUGCCGAGCCGCUUCUGGUGGUGACGGGGUCAGGUACCUACGCCGCAGGGGGGAGGGUUCAGAGCGAUGUGUCGCUGCUGGUGCCGGCGGUGGCGUCCUGGAUGACGUUGCAUCGGAGUGGCCCGCGACAGCGAGGCAGAUCUGUAUCCAUCCACAUGAUGGGCAGAGCGUCAUCGUGACCCGAGCGUCCCCCACCCGGCCCGGCCCUCACACCGCCCACUGGUGUGGGUGGGGGGCAGGGGCCGUGCUCUCCGAUGGCUGGGUCGGCGCGUUGUUGUGGCGUGUGUGUGUCUACGGCUGCCAUCGGCCCACGCGAGGUUGGGCCUGUGGCAGGGGUCGGAGGGAGAGGUAGGUGGCAAUGGAGGGGCGGUUUGACCCCACGUUGUGCGGCGGAGAAAGGGGACUCACGUUCACGCAAAAACAACGGAAACCACGAAGACACGCGCACGGUGAGGUGAUGAGAAUCGAGGGCGUCUCGGCGAGUGUGCCCGUGUGCGCUGUGUGCGUCGCCCGCCCCCUCUCCUCGCUCGCUUUCUAUGCCGCCGCCACCCCCUCAGGUCGUCGUGCAGGCAGCGCCCCAGGCCCUCUGCACGUUUGCCAGUGUGUUGCCCUCUCCCUCGCUUCUUCCACUGUCCAUCGAUCUGCUCUUGCACAUUUGUUCCUGGCCCAUCUGCCAACGACAUAAG